rnacentral:rRNA from 1 species
GACGAACCGUCCAAACGUUAUUCGGAAUUACUGGGUUUAAAGGGUGCGUAGGCGGCUUAUUAAGUCAGUGGUGAAAGCCUGCAGCUUAACUGCAGAACUGCCAUUGAUACUGAUGAGCUUGAAUAUACUUGAGGUUGGCGGAAUGUGUCAUGUAGCGGUGAAAUGCUUAGAUAUGACACAGAACACCGAUUGCGAAGGCAGCUAGCUAAAGUAUGAUUGACGCUGAUGCACGAAAGCGUGGGGAGCAAACAGG